rnacentral:rRNA from 1 species
CAGGCCUAACACAUGCAAGUCGAGCGGAGCGAGGGUGCUUGCACCUUAGCUUAGCGGCGGACGGGUGAGUAAUGCUUAGGAAUCUGCCUAUUAGUGGGGGACAACGUUUCGAAAGGAACGCUAAUACCGCAUACGUCCUACGGGAGAAAGCAGGGGAUCUUCGGACCUUGCGCUAAUAGAUGAGCCUAAGUCGGAUUAGCUAGUUGGUGGGGUAAAGGCCUACCAAGGCGACGAUCUGUAGCGGGUCUGAGAGGAUGAUCCGCCACACUGGGACUGAGACACGGCCCAGACUCCUACGGGAGGCAGCAGUGGGGAAUAUUGGACAAUGGGGGGAACCCUGAUCCAGCCAUGCCGCGUGUGUGAAGAAGGCCUUUUGGUUGUAAAGCACUUUAAGCGAGGAGGAGGCUUACCUAGUUAAUACCUGGGAUAAGUGGACGUACUCGCAGAAUAGCACCGGCAACUC